ensembl:lncRNA
CGGUGUCUGUUUUCAUGGGUGACUCUCUGUCUGCAGCUGGAGGCCUCUCUUGCCCAGCUUCAGCAGGAAAACCUGGUCCUGCGCAAGGAGCUGGCUACCUGGGAGGCCUGGCACCAGAAAAGAGGAGAGGAGGACACCACUGGCCCCUUGGGACUGGCUGGCUCAGGAAACGGCAGAGAAGCAGCCGAGACUGCAGAUGUUCCUGAAGCUUCCCAGAAGAGAGAGCCCUUGUCUCAGGGGAGCCGACGAAAUGUCCAGACCCAAACUGAGGGACCAGAGUGUGGCCAUCGGCGCAGGGAACGUGUCUCUGUGGCCUUUGAUGACACUCAGUAUGAACCCUACGGGCUCCCUGAGGUGGUCAUGAAAGGUUUUGCUGACAUCCCAUCUGGUCCCUCUUGCCCAUAUGUUCUCCGCCGGGGCAUUUUGGGAAGUGCCCCUGUUGCCCAGCUGGCCCCGCGAGCAGAACCAGAAGAGGAUUCCCCUGAGGCAGAGGAAGGGACAGGCGUCUGAGAACAGCCUAGCAGGUUAUCAUUCUCUCCGUAUUGUACCUGGCCUUUUCCACCUGCGCCAAUAUUUCUGCACCAGCCACCAAAAGAUGUGUGUCUCUGUGGGAAACCCCUGCUGUGGGCUUCCUUGGUUCCUGAUCUGAAAGGAGAUGGGCUGAUGAUCUCUGCCACUGUGCACUAGAGUCUCCUUUUCGCUUCCCUGGCUGCCACGCUCCGUCAGUUUCUGAAAAGAUGAUGUUCCUUACAGGCAUUCUAAGCCGAAGGGGGGGAAGUAUUUUCAGUCUUUUCAUCCUCCCCCGCCCCACCCUCCCUCUCCUGCAUCCUUCUGAUACCCAGAGGACUUUUUGGAAAUGAGGAAGAGUAUUUGGGGAGCAUCCACUGGAAGAGACUAGCAGAAAAGGCGCAAUCAUCCCUCCUGGAUUUAUACCACCCCUCGCCCAUCAUUGGAGGAGACCAUCUUUCCACAGUGGCCAUUCCUAUUUGACAGCCAAUCACAGACUCCAUAGCUCCGAGUGAGUAACCAGUAGCAAAGAGGAUGGAACACAUGGCUGCAGUUGGUUUCCUGCCCUCCACAUUUAUUUAUUUUUUUCACCUGGGAGAGCAGGGGCUGUUGCUGCUUUCCAAUCAGCAAUAAACAGGACAGUCCAGAGACCCCCCCCCACCUUGCCAGGAGAAUCGUGCUGUUUAAAAGUGGGGUUUUUAUUUUGUUAUUGGAGCAAUGCGAAUGAUGGAAGAUGUGGCAAAAUCAACACGGAGCAGCACAGCUGUCUGCAACCAGUUUGUCAGAUAACCGCAUGUGAUGGGCUGUGUGGAUGCUGGCACGCCAGGAGCGUUUGCCACUUGAGACGGCCAAGAUGGUGUUUGCCCCCAAAGCCAAGUGCAAAAAAAGGGUAAGGAAUCUGAAGCUACUCAAUAGGCAAAAAACAAAGCCACCCCAAGCAGAAUCACCAUUUGUUGCUGUUUAGUCGUUUAGUCGGGUCCGACUCUUUGUGACCCCAUGGACCAGAGCACGCCAGGCACUCCUGUCUUCCACUGCCUCCUGCAGUUUUG